rnacentral:rRNA from 1 species
UGCAAGUCGAACGCACUCUCGUUUAGAUUGAAGGAGCUUGCUCCUGAUUGAUAACAUUUGAGUGAGUGGCGGACGGGUGAGUAACACGUGGGUAACCUGCCCUAAAGUGGGGGAUAACAUUUGGAAACAGAUGCUAAUACCGCAUAAAACCUAACACCGCAUGGUGUAGGGUUGAAAGAUGGUUUCGGCUAUCACUUUAGGAUGGACCCGCGGUGCAUUAGUUAGUUGGUGAGGUAAAGGCUCACCAAGACCGUGAUGCAUAGCCGACCUGAGAGGGUAAUCGGCCACACUGGGACUGAGACACGGCCCAGACUCCUACGGGAGGCAGCAGUAGGGAAUCUUCCACAAUGGACGAAAGUCUGAUGGAGCAACGCCGCGUGAGUGAAGAAGGUUUUCGGAUCGUAAAACUCUGUUGUUGGAGAAGAAUGUAUCUGAUAGUAACUGAUCAGGUAGUGACGGUAUCCAACCAGAAAGCCACGGCUAACUACGUG